rnacentral:rRNA from 1 species
UACGUAGGGUGCAAGCGUUGUCCGGAAUUAUUGGGCGUAAAGGGCUCGUAGGCGGUCCGUCACGUCGGGAGUGAAAACUCAGGGCUCAACCCUGAGCGUGCUUCCGAUACGGGCGGACUAGAGGUAUGCAGGGGAGAACGGAAUUCCUGGUGUAGCGGUGGAAUGCGCAGAUAUCAGGAGGAACACCGGUGGCGAAGGCGGUUCUCUGGGCAUUACCUGACGCUGAGGAGCGAAAGCAUGGGGGAGCGAACAGG